rnacentral:rRNA from 1 species
GUUUAGGGCACUGGAAGGUCCCUAAACCGAAAGGGGCUCUGCCCGCCCGAGGAUGGGCCGGCGGCCGAUUAGGUAGUUGGUGGGGUAACGGCCCACCAAGCCCAUAAUCGGUACGGGCAGUGAGAGCUGGAGCCCGGAGAUGGACACUGAGACACGGGUCCAGGCCCUACGGGGCGCAGCAGGCGCGAAACCUCCGCAAUGCUCGAAAGAGCGACGGGGGGACCCCAAGUGCCGUGGUACAACCACGGCUUUUCCGGAGUGUAAGAAGCUCCGGGAAUAAGGGCUGGGCAAGGCCGGUGGCAGCCGCCGCGGUAAUACCGGCGGCCCGAGUGGUGGCCACUAUUAUUGGGCCUAAAGCGUCCGUAGCCGGGCUUGUAAGUCCCUGGCGAAAUCCCACGGCUCAACCGUGGGGCUUGCUGGGGAUACUGCAAGCCUUGGGACCGGGAGAGGCCGGGGGUACUCCUGGGGUAGGGGUGAAAUCCUAUAAUCCCAGGAGGACCGCCAGUGGCGAAGGCGCCCGGCUGGAACGGGUCCGACGGUGAGGGACGAAGGCCAGGGGAGCAAACCGGAUUAGAUACCCGGGUAGUCCUGGCUGUAAAGGAUGCGGGCUAGGUGUUGCUUGGACCUCGAGUCCAAGCAGUGCCGCAGGGAAGCCG